rnacentral:lncRNA from 1 species
AACUCCGCGGGGGCCGUGCCAGGAGACCCGGGGCGCACAGUCCUCUGCGAGGAGGUGUGGCUGAGCUGAGGGUCUCUUGAAAGCAGGAUUAGAAUCCAAGGAAAAACGAAGGAAAACUGUUCUGCUCCUGCGGAUGUGACUAGGGCGGUCAUGCAGCCCCUGAGGGAUGGGCAGGAAUGACCGAUGGAGAGGCAGACCUGGCACGACAUCCACCAGAACAGACCAAAACCCUUCGCUGGGGCCGGAGGAACCGCUGCCGCCGCACUUGUCUUGGAAGGGGCUCAAGAAUGAUGCAGUAGAUGGCAGAAUGGCCCUGCACAGAAGGCUGGAGACUCACAGGUAAUAUUUUUACAAGAAGUGAAGUAUUUAUCUUAGAGUUUCUCAUUUCAUUUAUGGAUGGACACUUGAAGAAAAAACCCCAGGCCCUGGCUGUUGGCUCUCAGCACCUCUAAUUUGUUACUUUGAUUUUGCAUUAAGAAUGUCUUGGUAAAGUUGCACUAUACUUUGAGGUG